rnacentral:tRNA from 1 species
AGUGCCAGAAAAGAGAGGUUCUAACUCCCACCCCUAACUCCCAAAGCUAGGAUUCUAAACUAAACUAUUUUCUG